ACAACUUUACUAUAUAAUAGAAGUUCUGUACAAAAUAAACAAUUACAUUAUAAGGAGACAACGGUCCAGCAACCCAAAGUUGACUGGGAGACGACAGCCUAGACCUCUCAUGAACUCGUCACAGCAUCCUCCAAGCGCCUCAUCAUGCGGUACCUGUUCUUGACCUAUGGGGGGGUGAGACAGCAAGAGUGAGCUCACAUACGUUCAUCGCUCAACAAGUUGUGGGGAAUAAUGUGCAUGAACUCGCCAAAGGUGGGAGCUCACGUGAAGUGUAAGGCUUACCAAAGAGGAUGGUUGAAGCUGAGCAUUGCUUUUAAAGUUGGUCAAAAUUUUAUUAGCAAUUACUAAGUAUAAGUAAAUACCAACCCAAUUAAAUAGCAGAACAGAAGUAACAACAUCACCUGCAAUGCAAUGCAUAUGACAAAUUGAAUUUAGUUCCAUAAAUUAAUCAUGUGAGGGUCCGAGCUGCUCAUGACCGUGAGCACGGCUAGUAUACCAGUUUUACACUAUGCAGAGGUUGCGCAUAUUUACCCACAAGUCAUGUUACCCAUCUGCCAAGGGAUCGCGACUUCCCAUAAACCUCUACCGAGGAGGCGAGGCAGGGUAACACUACGAGGCCUUUACAAAGUUCCACUAGCUUCAGAAAACCCGCUACAUUUUAUAGGAAGCUCCAAUGCAGGGUUCUUGUCUGACCGCCAUCGCAGCAAAAUCAACCAAGGACCUCCCUACACUGACCACUCCCCUACUGCCCUUGCCCCUUUCGGGUGAGGUAGUCUUCCACUAGCUUUCCUAAUUAAUCAGCCAAGGGCGUCCCAUUAAACCCUUGUGGUAGCACUGUUUUCCCGGGUGGUCGCUCCAUGUUCCAAUUAACAUAAUGAUCUUACCAUGAAUAGUAAAUAACAACUGAUAAUAAAAGUGUGAUCAUGAAUAUUGUAUCUUCAUACCCAAAACCACAUAAAGCACUAGCAAGUACUACCCAAAAAGUUCAGUGGUAAACAAGGUAUAAAGAUAAUCAAACUAUGGUAACCUAUUGGGUCCCAUCAAAAUUAACCUAUGCAGAUCAUUAUGAUUAAUUAGAACAUGGCUGGGUAAAAAGAAGUGAUCAAGGGCACAACUUGCCUGGCACUUGAGAUUCCAGGUGACAGGAUGAACUUCAGAUCCUCGUAACCUCACUGCUAGUCGUAGCAAUACAAACAGACAUGGUAUAGGCAAAAUUAACAUCACACCAAACAUAAGAACAUACUGCAUAAUAAUGAUCUACGCGUUGCUACGAGACUAACGCAACUUGAAGGGAUCAAUUCGGAGUUAAAACGGAGGAGUUAUGAAUUUCCUAGGGUUUUAUGUAUUUGAUAUAAGAUUAAUUAGGAAAUAAAUUUUUUAUUACUGUUUUCAUGUAAAAACAGAGGCAAUAGGUGCUAAACAACAUUAUUACAAAAUUGUAGAAAUUGGAAUGGACUCAUUUGGACUUAAUAUGAAUUUUCUAGGGGUUAAACAAAUUCUAGCAUUUAUUUUCACAUUAAAAAUCAUUUCCUAAUCACUUUUACUGAAUUUUAUAUUUUUCUGGACUGGGCACAAGAUAACCAGAGAAGACAGGGGCCACGGCGCAAAUAAACCCUAGACUCAGGACACUAUUCCCUGGACGGCGGGUUGAUUCCAUUAAAAUCCGAGGACUUCUUAAGUAAAUCGCCAAGGCCGAAGGGGUAUGGUUAAAUCCCGGCCACCCGAUCAACUACGCACGGUCCAGAUUAAAUCGAAACUACAUCGAACCGGUGAGGAGCGGUGACCGCCAGAUCGAGGAUCAAUGGUUGUGAUUUUAAAAUCUCAUCGCCAAACCCUGCCCGCACAUCCACUGAUCUACGGUCAUGGUUUACUGAAGCGAAAAGUUAUCUGUGUUUUAAUCUGAACCGUCCGUGUGGAUCCAAUGGUUUGCACUCUUCUUCAACCCCCAGUCUGUCUAACACGUUGGCGAGGAAGACUCCCCCACAGCCGCCAUUACCAGAGCACAAGCUCGGUGCUUCAAGUGCUCCCAUAGCCAAACCAAAUACUACUAGCUACGUGAAGGAAACAGGGACGCACACAAGAUUUCUUGCCUGAGUUUCAGAGUUCGUCCAAUCACUAGGAAUCCAGCCACGGGGAGGGGCAUAGGAGGACGAGGAGAGCAGCGUGUCGGCAGCCGGAUCCUUGAGGCAGUCCUCACCGUAGAGCACCAAAACAACUCGGCGCGCAGAGGCAGCUGGGCAAGGA
rnacentral:lncRNA from 1 species